GUGGGGAAUUUUGGACAAUGGGCGAAAGCCUGAUCCAGCCAUGCCGCGUGCAGGAUGAAGGCCUUCGGGUUGUAAACUGCUUUUGUACGGAACGAAAAGACUCUGGUUAAUACCUGGGGUCCAUGACGGUACCGUAAGAAUAAGCACCGGCUAACUACGUGCCAGCAGCCGCGGUAAUACGUAGGGUGCAAGCGUUAAUCGGAAUUACUGGGCGUAAAGCGUGCGCAGGCGGUUAUAUAAGACAGAUGUGAAAUCCCCGGGCUCAACCUGGGAACUGCAUUUGUGACUGUAUAGCUAGAGUACGGCAGAGGGGGAUGGAAUUCCGCGUGUAGCAGUGAAAUGCGUAGAUAUGCGGAGGAACACCGAUGGCGAAGGCAAUCCCCUGGGCCUGUACUGACGCUCAUGCACGAAAGCGUGGGGAGCAAACAGGAUUAGAUACCCUUGUAGUCC
rnacentral:rRNA from 1 species